rnacentral:rRNA from 1 species
ACACAUGCAAGUCGCACGAGAAAGUGGAGCAAUCCAUGAGUACAGUGGCGCACGGGUGAGUAACACGUGACUAACCUACCCUCGAGUGGGGAAUAACCUAGGGAAACCUGGGCUAAUACCGCAUAACACUUACGAGUCAAAGCAGCAAUGCGCUUGAGGAGGGGGUCGCGGCAGAUUAGCUAGUUGGUGAGGUAAUGGCUCACCAAGGCGAUGAUCUGUAUCCGGCCUGAGAGGGCGCACGGACACACUGGAACUGAAACACGGUCCAGACUCCUACGGGAGGCAGCAGUGGGGAAUUUUGCGCAAUGGGGGAAACCCUGACGCAGCAACGCCGCGUGGAGGAUGAAAUCCCUUGGGAUGUAAACUCCUUUCGAUCGGGACGAUUAUGACGGUACCGGAAGAAGAAGCCCCGGCUAACUUCGUGCCAGCAGCCGCGGUAAUACGAGGGGGGCAAGCGUUGUUCGGAAUUAUUGGGCGUAAAGGGUGCGUAGGCGGUCUGAUAAGUCAUCUGUGAAAUCUAUGGGCUCAACCCAUAGUCUGCAGGCGAAACUGUCGGGCUUGAGUAUGGGAGAGGUGAGUGGAAUUUCCGGUGUAGCGGUGAAAUGCGUAGAUAUCGGAAGGAACACCUGUGGCGAAAGCGGCUCACUGGACCAUUACUGACGCUGAUGCACGAAAGCUAGGGGAGCAAAC